ACACAGGGAGGUCCUGGUUAGGGAGAGCAGAGCAUCUAGUGUUUCAAGCGGGCUCAUUUUAUUGAUGAAUUCAAAACAUAAGAGCGGGAAUUAAUGCCUGGGAAGGGAGAAGCAAGGGGCUAGCCCAUAACGGACACCUAAACCAGGAAGAAAAGAGAAGAUGACCCUAUAUGGGAAUAAUGAAGCUUAGGUCAGAUCUCGGAAGAUUGUACACCCCAUAGUAUCAGCCAAUGAGGAAUGGGGGAGGCACUUGCAUGCUAGGGAAUAUAAUUGCUUGUUGUAAGAGCACCUGGUGUGCCUGCCUGCCAGUCACCCGAUCUUGCAAGUCUGAGGUUGAAGUCUCGCUUUAGCUGCACUUAGUGUCUUGGAGUCCAUUCUUUGAGUUUGGGCAGGUGGACUGCUCCAUCUGGACGUCCCGGCUGUCUACUGAGGCCAUAGAAAGACCGGAGACCGUUAUCAGAAGGCAGUGGAGGCGACACAGGGAAGAAAAGCAGGUACCCGGCAACCAGGCAACCUGGUGCACGAGCCAAGGCUAAAAGGACUUCUUGCCCAGACCCUGCCUGAGUUUGCAGUUCAUCAUUUCCAACCUGGUGACUUGGUGCUAAUAAAGACCUGAAAAGAAGACAAGCUUCAACCCAGCUGGGAAAGCCCCUCCUAACCACUGAAACAGCCGUACGAACAUCUGAGAGGGGGUGGACUUGCCAUACUCCAGUUAAGAGUCUGAUACAAAAAAAAAUCUAGAGAGGGAAGAGAAAGACAGAUGAGAAGUGAAUGAAUCACUAGGGGGACCUCUAAAGGUAACUCUAAGAAGAAGGCCUAACCCAUCUUAAUUCAAUCUACUCUCCCUUACGAUCAUGGUCUGGCUCUGGCUUUGGGAAUUGAUAUGGUUGGGAUGGGCUAUUAGGUUUGGAGCUGGAGGUUGGGGCCAAGAAUGGGGAAAUUGGAAAGGAACUCCUGGAUACCCAAUUAAGCUAGUCAUUAAUGUGAAUCAGACCAAAACACCCCUGACUAUAAAAUUUGAUGCCUGCCAAGUCUUACCUUGUGGGGAUUUAGACAGUCAAAGACAACUUUCCCAAGCAGAUAAGUACCUCUGUCCUGAACCAGAUGCUGGAUACACCCAUGCCAGUCCCUGCCCUAGUUGGGAUGAUGUCUGGUGGACCACUCAAUAUCAUGGUUGGACUGUCGAUACGAGGUGGAUAACUGCAUCCUGGAGGGCCUUAAAAUAUAAGAUAAAUAUAUAUAAAGACCCCGUGCCAUAUAACUGUGGGAAUUUAGAAUGCAACCCUAUAUUAAUUAUCAUCAAAAACCCAGCCACCCUACACCAGGAACCAAGAGUAGCAUCUCGGGUGUAUGGGUUGGGGGCAGAUAUCUCAGGACGGGACCCCCGUGGACGAUUAGUUCUCAAAUUCGUCACCCACUAGACCUUGAGUCCACCUGAAACUAUGGUAACCCCCAGUCCCAAUAACCCCUUUUAUCCACCAAGUAAUGACCCUAAAAGAGUAAAAAUUUUUGAAGUCAAAGAUCUGAGGCAAACCUUAGAGAUAGAGACAGGGUAUGGAGAUGUGAGUGCCUGGGUUGAAUGGGUCAAAUUUUUGGUACAGGCCCUCAACAAAAGUGACUGUUAUGCAUUCAUGUGCUGCAGGACUGUCUCAGGCAUGGGUGGUUCCAUUUCCCCUAGGAUGGGAUACUAACCCUGAAUGAAUGCAUUGUAUGUUGGCUCUAUACCAGGACAAGGAUGCAUGGGGUAAUGAAACUUUCAAGAGUCUGUCAUUGUUCUUUCCCACAUUGAGAAGGUCAGAUCCAAGAGCAAUACCUUCAUUCUCUCUAGGGAAUACGAACUACUCCUCUUGCUUCUCCUGGCAGGGGGCAAAGUUCAUUAAACCUGUGGGAGAACUUUCGACUUGUAGCCACAUCCUAAAUGUUGCUGGUGAGUCGGACAACGGCAACUACUUGGCUCUGCUUAUACCCAGGGCGGAUGUCUGGUGGUAUUGUGGGGAUAGGAAUCUCAAAAACCGGUUGCCAUCCAGUUGAACUGGGACUUAUGCUUUAGUUUAAUUGGCUAUACCCUUCACCCUGGCAUUUUAGCGGAUGACAACAGGUCACGGAACAGGUCAUGCAGGAAGAAAGAAGGCAAUAAGCAGGUUCCUUCAAUUCCAGUACCUAUAAAGAUUCCAUAGGAGUUCUGAGAGGGGUUCCAAAUGAAUUCAAAGUCAGAAACCAGAUAGCUCUGGGUUUGAAUCCAUACUCUUCUGGUGGUCCACAAUUAACAAAAAUGUGGAUUGGAUUAACUAUAUCUGUUAUAACCAGCAAGGAUUCAUCAAUUAUAUCUGAGAUACUCUUCAAGGGAUAGCUGGUCAGUUAGACGCUACUAGUUGAAUGGCUUUGGAAAACAGGAGUACACUGCCAAUACAAAAUAUUGGCAGAAAAGGGGGGUGUUUGUGCUAUUUUGGGUAGAUAAUGUACUUUCAUUCCCCAGUAACACAGCCCCUAACAGAACAAUUACAAAGGCCUUGCAAGGACUAACAACCCUAGCCAGUGAAUUGGCUGAUAAUACUGGAAUUAACGUCCCCUUUACAGACUGAUUGGAAGGAUGGUUUGGAAAAUGGAAGGGUAUGGUAGCUUAAAUCCUUAAAUCUCAUAAUUGUGGCAGGGAUCUUAACAGCAAUAGGGGAGAAUAGUCCCCCCUGUGUAAGGGAACUAACACAAAAAUUAAUUGAAGCAUCCAUUAUAAACAAAUGUCUGUGACAUACCAACAGAAUAACUUACUGUUACUAGAAACUAAACUUGACUCACUCUCUUAUGAAGAAGAGUCAACAAAUUCUAAAACAUUUCAUGAACCAAAAGAUACAAAAGUAACGAUGAAAAUGAGCUCAAAAAGUACAAAAGAAAGAGGAGGGAUUUGUAAGAAAUAAUAAUGUUUAAUGGUCCAUUUUCAAAAGUAAAUGCUAAAUUAAGAACGGGGAACCACCAAUAGCUAGCUUGCACAGCCCACAUAAUGACGUGUGACUGGUGUGGCAAUCCUAAGGCUUACAAACCUGGAAAGUCCUUGAUAAUACAUAAAGCAAGAAUUUGGAAAAAUACUUAGCAACUGAGCCUGGGGCCAUGCAAAGAGGUCCUGGGUAAGGAGGGUGGAGUGCCUAGGGUUUUGCACCAGCUCACUCUGUUGGUGAAUUCAAAACAGUCGAAUGGAAAUUAACACCUGGGAAGGGAGAAGCAAAGGGAGAAGCAAAGGGGCCGGGUCAAAACGGAUACCUAAACCGUGAAGAAGGAGUUCCCGUUGUGGCACAGUGGAAACAAAUCCGACUAGGAAUCAUGAGGUUUUGGGUUCGAUCCCUGGCCUUACUCAGCAGGACCCACGCUGCCGUGAGCUGUGAUGUAGGUCACAGACGUGGUUUGGAUCCUGCGUUGCUGUGGCUGUAGUAUAGUCUGGCAGCUAUAGCUCUGAUUGGACCCCUAGCCUAGGAACUUCCAUAUGCCAUGGGUGUGGCCCUAAAAAGCAAAAAUGAAUAAAUAAAAUAAAAUGAAAAUAAACUAGGAAGAAAAGAGAAGAUGACCUUGUAAGGGAAUAAUGAAACUUAGGUGACAUCUGGGAAGAUUGUACACCCCAUAGUACUCAGCCAGUGAGGAACUGGGGGAGGGACUUGUGUGCUAGAGAAUGUAAUUGCUUGUUGUCAGGGCACCAGGUGUGCCUACCUGCCUGCCAGUUACCGGAUCUUGUAAGAAGCCAUUAAAGUCUCCUUUGACUGC